GUUUUUCUAGGACCCAGAGCCAACUUCACUCCCGCAGAGCACUGCACAGAGUUUAUUCAUGCAGAGUUUACUGAGCCGCCUGAGGGGACAUGGUCAAACCUCAUCUGCGAGAAGAAGUAUUGAUGCACCACCAGGUCAUGGCUUCUGAGGAGUUUGCAGCCCCUAAGGAAUAGAGUGGAUUGCACAAAGUCUUCUCAGGUUGGGACCUGGGGCCUCCAUGGAUGGCUCACUACCUGGGUGCUUCCGUCCUGAGAGCCACAUCCUGUCAGAUGCCAAGGAAACCCUGCCUGCAUGUACCUGAGGCUCUGAGGUGGGGCCUUUGGAGGCCACCCCCCCCCCAUGUCUGCCCACACAACAGAGGCUGUCCAUCUGAAAAACAAACAAGAAGGCACCCAGUGGUGCCUCUUCUGGAUGUUCCUACAGAAUCAAUGUCUUCCCAGGAGUCCUCAGCUAACACCAGUCAGUCCUCCAAGAGCUGGAGCAAGAGAGCUCCAAGAGGCAUUUUCAGGUAUCGGGCCUUGAUUAGGUUUGGGAGGCAUGGAGUUAGUUCACCGUCUGGUGGAUUCUAGUCAAAGAUGAUCCAAGGGAAAGAAAGGGACUUGAGGCAAUGUUAGAAUCUAAGUGAAGUGAGGAGUCCUGGAGCAAACUGGUCUGGGCUCAACCAACCACUUCCUAGUUGGAAGCAAGUCAUAUAUUUAUAUGCCUCCUGUUCUUCAUCUGCAAAGUGAGGAUAACUGUCUGCCCCCCACAGAGAGGCAGUGAGUGUUAAGUGAGUUAGUACAUAUAAAGGGUUUAGGACGGGGCCUGGCACUCCCUGAGCACUUGGUAAAAUGGUAGCUGUAGUUCAGUUAGGCUGACUGCCUGAUUUCUCCCAGACCCCAGGCCCACGCUACCGGGUACCAUGGUCUAGUGGGCAGACAUUCAGGUUGAGGAGGGGAGGGUGCGGGGAGGAGAGGGACAUGGAAUGCAGUCACCCCGUGCACACAGCCCAGCCUCCUGUCCUGCUGGCCUCUGCCUGAGGCUGGGCUCCUGUCUGUGCCCAGGGUCAGAGCAGAUUCCCUCUCUCUGGUUUUGGGAGAGGAGCAUGGAAGAGUGACCGACGUCUGGGCGGCUGAGCUGUUGUGCAGGUGUGGAGGGCCACGCCAGCUUGAGUCAGGUGGCGGCGAAGCCGCAGGGACGUUCCUGGAGCCUAGCUCGUCCCACAGACGAGGACUCAGACGUGACUCACCAUGUUCAGGUGGUGCCUGGGCCUUAGUCACCUGGUGCCCCUUCCUCCGACCCCUGCGAUUCAGCACAGCCUGGGCCAGGCUCUCUUAUCCUCCGGAAACGUUUCUCCCCUUUCCUUGUUCUCUGUCCCUUGAUCUCUCAUUGAUCAGAUCUUGGCUGGUCUCCCCGACAGAUGGAUAAGGAGCCUGGAGCUGCUGAGGCCACCCCCGCACCCUGUCAGGCAUUGCCAGGGAUGACUGCGGAGGGCCCGGGAUACUGCCUACAUCAACACGGUGACAUUUCUGUAAUCUGAGGCCGGGUGGCCCCCUCUCUGCGGCUGACUGCAGCAGGAAUCUCCACUCUCAGCCAUCCGUUCUGGUGACCAGAAGCCCAGGCCGUCCCCUUUGAGAAUAGAGAUAUACCCACAGUGCGUGGGGGCUCCUUAAAUCAGUCGUUGACACCUCAGUGUGAACCUGCUCAUUAUACCAAGAGUGAGCACCUGCUGUGUGCCAAGCACUAUUUCCAGGCACUCGGAAAAUAGUAGUGAACGAAAUGGGCAGAAAUCUCCUCUUUCUUUUACAUUACAUUCCGCUGCGAGGAGUCAGAACAAUAAACAUGAUAAAUAGGUAAGUUCUGUAGUUGAU
rnacentral:lncRNA from 12 species